rnacentral:telomerase_RNA from 1 species
AUCUCCUUCACGACAGCACGUCGCCUCCCUCAGUUUGCCGACUCUCGUUUUCCGCAAGGAAUGUCUAUCGCAGACCCCCUCUCGGGCUCGUUGGACACAAUAUGCCGCUCUCGAGCCUGUAUCAGGACCUCGCUGCAUGCCGCACUCGGAUCAUUGUUGUCCUUGGCCGUCGGUAGCAGACGGUACAGCCUGGCCGGGGGAACGAGAGCCGGAACCUAACCCUAAGAAUAUUUCUGGUUCGAGUUUGCGCCAAGUCGUCCAACCCAUCAUUCAAGUUGAUUGAGCGAUCUGUGAGGCUGCGUCCGCUGAAAAGUGGUGCGGCUGACAUGGUAGCCUCGAUCGACGGACCGUUGGGGCGGACUCUCCAGUCACCUUAGGGUGCGUGAGAGGAAGGAUGCCAUGAGCCUGUCUGGUAAGAGCCUCUGGUCUGAGGACGCUCGUCUGCCCUAUCCGCUGGAACUUUGGCGUUGGCCAAAAUUGGACUGCUUCACGGAUGCUGCCGGCUCUCGAAGGGACAGGGUUCGCCGUCUCCUGCGGACAGACCUUUGGGUCGCAUAUCACGACUUGGACAGUGAACGGGCCAAGGAGUUGAGUACGGGUCGGCCACACACUGUCAGGGCAUGCGUUUCCCAAGACCAACAUCAGAGACUUGCCUCGUCGGAAACACUCUUGUAGUGCAGCGAGGAUGUCCUGGUUACACACAGAAACGCUCCACUCAGCCUGACUCACUGCCGUCCCGGGAAACUCUCGGUACUCUCGAAGCCCGUUUAUUGUCCGCCUCGUCUGUCCGCGGCGGAAUUUGUGAGCCCUGUCAAUUUUGCUGCGAUGCUCCUGGAGUCUCACCUCGGCACGUGCCAUUGGUGUGUGAUGCAACUGCAUCUGGUCCGGCCAGGCGCAUUAACCUUCCAUCGUCGGAAACGCGAUGCCUGAAGGACGCCAGUCCCCGUCGGGAUCCCUCUGGGUUUUCGGCGGGCCCUCGUCGCUCUUUCGAAAGGAAGUCGUCGGGACGAAAGCGCGGUUUUUAAGGAUGUCUUUUGUUCGCGCGUCAACGCCCUCCAUACUUUGCUCUUCGAGAGCAUUGCGGAGAGGAAACAAAAACUGGUCCUCGUUGGCAGUGCAUCACACACGGAAGGAGAUUCGGUUCCCAGCGCAGGGAGCUCUUUUCGGCUGUUCGGCGAGUCGUCUAUGAAAGCCCUGGACACUUGAUUGGGGUUGGUUCUCAGAGCCCGGACGUGAUGGCGGACCGCCGGUUUCCUAGGGUUGUGCUUGAGUCGCCAGCAGUGUCGGGACCCAUCUCGAGUUGGAGUCAAAGUUUCGUACUUGUCCGGCCCUGUCAACGACAAGAGCAACGGCAAUUCAACGGGAGCUGGCGCCCGCCAUCGGAUCUGGAAGUCUCUCUAUUGGUUUCUAAGGGCAGGCCGCUUGACGAAAGGUAGCCCUGGUUGUCCUCGUGCCAGAAAUGGUGGGAGGGCAACCCCCCGGCUAAUGAGG